UGCAAAGAUGCGGUCUUGCACCAUUUUAAAAGAAAUGAAAAGAUAGGGCGUGCACACAUCAGAUUAGAGAGAAAAAAGGUUGCAUGAAGAAGGUCUUGUUCAUGAGUUGAAAGUUCAAAAACUCCGAGAGAAAAGAAAAGUAAGAGAGUUGGCGCAGGGUCUUCUGUGUGUACCCUAGGGUUACUGCCUAGGGUUCGGGAAGUGAGAAAGUGAGCUACGAGCAUCGUGAGCCCACCAGAUCUCAGAGAGAGAUUCAUCAACCUCUCAAGUAUAUCUGCUG
rnacentral:lncRNA from 1 species